rnacentral:rRNA from 1 species
CCUACGGGUGGCAGCAGUGAGGAAUAUUGGUCAAUGGGCGGGAGCCUGAACCAGCCAAGUCGCGUGAGGGAAGACGGUCCUAUGGAUUGUAAACCUCUUUAGGCGGGGAGCAAUGCCGGGCACGCGUGCCCGGAGGGAGAGUACCCGGAGAAUAAGCAUCGGCUAACUCCGUGCCAGCAGCCGGGGUAAUAGGGAGGAUGCGAGCGUUACCCGGUUUUAUUGGGUUAAAGGGGUGCGUAGGCGGAUUUUUAAGUCAGCGGGAAAGUGUGCGGGCUCAACCCGGGCCGGCCGUUGAAACUGGGGAUCUUGAGUGGGCGAGAGGUAUGCGGAAUGCGUGGUGUAGCGGUGAAAUGCCUAGAUAUCACGCAGAACUCCGAUUGCGAAGGCAGCAUACCGGCGCCCGACUGACGCUGAGGCACGAAAGCGUGGGGAUCGAACAGGAUUAGAUACCCUGGUAGUC